GAUGAACGCUAGCGGCAGGCCUAAUACAUGCAAGUCAAGGGGAUAGCAAUAUCACCGGCGGACGGGUGCGUAACGCGUACACAACGUGCCCAAGGGCGGAGGAAAGCGGCGGGAAACUGCCGGUAAUACUCCAUGGUGUUGUAGAUUGGCAUCAGUUUACAACUAAAGUACAAGCGCCCUUGGAUCGGUGUGCGUUCGAUUAGCUAGUUGGCGGGUAACGGCCCACCAAGGCUACGAUCGAUAGGGGGUGUGAGAGCAUGGCCCCCCCACACGGGUACUGAGACACGGACCCGACUCCUACGGGAGGCAGCAGUAAGGAAUAUUGGACAAUGGGCGAAAGCCUGAUCCAGCCAUGCCGCGUGAAGGACGAAGGCGCUCAGCGUUG
rnacentral:rRNA from 1 species